rnacentral:tRNA from 1 species
AGGAUGGUAGUUUAAUUGGAAAAACCGCUCCCACCACGGGGAAUGUUUUGGGUUCGAGUCCCAACUGUCCUA